rnacentral:rRNA from 1 species
GAUGAACGCUGGCGGCGUGCCUAAUACAUGCAAGUCGAGCGAACGGACGAGAAGCUUGCUUCUCUGAUGUUAGCGGCGGACGGGUGGGUAACACGUGGAUAACCUACCUAUAAGACUGGGAUAACUUCGGGAAACCGGAGCUAAUACCGGAUAAUAUUUUGAACCGCAUGGUUCAAAAGUGAAAGACGGUCUUGCUGUCACUUAUAGAUGGAUCCGCGCUGCAUUAGCUAGUUGGUAAGGUAACGUCUUACCAAGGCAACGAUGCAUAGCCGACCUGAGAGGGUGAUCGGCCACACUGGAACUGAGACACGGUCCAGACUCCUACGGGAGGCAGCAGUAGGGAAUCUUCCGCAAUGGGCGAAAGCCUGACGGAGCAACGCCGCGUGAGUGAUGAAGGUCUUCGGAUCGUAAAACUCUGUUAUUAGGGAAGAACAUAUGUGUAAGUAACUGUGCACAUCUUGACGGUACCUAAUCAGAAAGCCACGGCUAACUACGUG